AUUGAACGCUGGCGGCAGGCCUAACACAUGCAAGUCGAGCGGAUGAAGGGAGCUUGCUCCUGGAUUCAGCGGCGGACGGGUGAGUAAUGCCUAGGAAUCUGCCUGGUAGUGGGGGAUAACGUCCGGAAACGGGCGCUAAUACCGCAUACGUCCUGAGGGAGAAAGUGGGGGAUCUUCGGACCUCACGCUAUCAGAUGAGCCUAGGUCGGAUUAGCUAGUUGGUGGGGUAACGGCCUACCAAGGCGACGAUCCGUAACUGGUCUGAGAGGAUGAUCAGUCACACUGGAACUGAGACACGGUCCAGACUCCUACGGGAGGCAGCAGUGGGGAAUAUUGGGCAAUGGGCGAAAGCCUGAUCCAGCCAUGCCGCGUGUGUGAAGAAGGUCUUCGGAUUGUAAAGCACUUUAAGUUGGGAGGAAGGGCAGUAAGUGAAUACCUUGCUGUUUUGACGGUACCAACAGAAUAAGCACCGGCUAACUUCGUG
rnacentral:rRNA from 1 species